AGUGAACGCUGGCGGCAGGCCUAAUACAUGCAAGUCGAACGGCAGCACAGCAGAGCUUGCUCUGUGGGUGGCGAGUGGCGGACGGGUGAGGAAUACAUGGGAAUCUGCCCAGUCGUGGGGGAUAACGUAGGGAAACUUACGCUAAUACCGCAUGCGCCCUUCGGGGGAAAGCCGGGGACCUUCGGGCCUGGCGCACUUGGAUGAGCCCAUGUCGGAUGUGCUAGUUGGCGGGGUAAUGGCCCACCAAGGCGACGAUCCGUAGCUGGUCUGGGAGGAUGAUCAGCCACACUGGAACUGAGACACGGUCCAGACUCCUACGGGAGGCAGCAGUAGGGAAUAUUGAACAAUGGGCGCAAGCCUGAUCCAGCCAUGCCGCGUGAGUGAAGAAGGCCCUCGGGUUGUAAAGCUCUUUUGUCCGGAAAGAAAAGCAUCCAGUUAAUACCUGGGUGUCCUGACGGUACCGGAAGAAUAAGCACCGGCUAACUUCGUGCCAGCCGCCGCGGUAACAC
rnacentral:rRNA from 1 species